UACGUAGGGCGCAAGCGUUGUCCGGAAUUAUUGGGCGUAAAGAGCUCGUAGGCGGUUUGUCGCGUCUGCUGUGAAAACCUAAGGCUCAACCUUGGGCUUGCAGUGGGUACGGGCAGACUAGAGUGCGGUAGGGGUGACUGGAAUUCCUGGUGUAGCGGUGGAAUGCGCAGAUAUCAGGAGGAACACCGAUGGCGAAGGCAGAUCUCUGGGCCGUAACUGACGCUGAGGAGCGAAAGCGUGGGGAGCGAACAGG
rnacentral:rRNA from 1 species